UCCCCUUUGGUAGAAAGCAAACCCUAAGUACUCUCUUCACUCUCUUUCACUCUCUUCUAGUUCUCUCCAAUCUUCAACGUUCGGCCCCUCCCCUCCGAUCAGACGACGCUGGCGAACGCCGCUCACCCUCUCCUAGACGAAGCCGGCGACUGUAACUCCGAUCAAACCAGACGCACUCGCUCUCCGUUUUGGUUUCCGUUUCAAGUCGAUGCUUCCGGUUCUGCCUGCUAGGACGGAGAUCCUAACUCAACAUUUGCCGAUGCUUCUGAGGAUUACGAUGAGGAAGAGAAUGGGGGUUUUGGGUCAUCUAUGCAGUCUCGUGGGGAAGUUGGUGGAACGUUGUCACUGGAAAAUGUUAGAAGAGAGAUUUUUGGAGCUUUAGUUCCCUGACGAUGGUUACAAUUAUUUGCUGCAUCUUCGGGAGAUUAAGAAUACUGGUGGUGAGAACCCCUAGGCUAAGCUGAAUCAUGUUCCACGCGAUGAGAAGCUGUUGAACCGGGUCUAUGCAUCUAGCGACAGUGAUGGCACUGAUUGUGACGGCCCUGUAUAGCCGAUGAGGACAAGUCCCUUGCCCAAAAGCUCAAUCAUGCUAAACUUAAAUUUUGGAUCUACCAGACUUGGAAAAGGCAAGAGGAAACUAGGGAAGGUGGCUGGAAAUUGUCAACUACUUGAAGGGAUAUAAUGGCUCCAAGGCAAGAUUAAAAUCAAUAUUUUAGAAGAGUAUAGUGGUGCGAAGUAUUGAUCUGCUGGAUGUAUCGAGGAAUAUAGCAUCAUUGAGUAAAUUCUCAAACCCACACUUGAAUAAUCUCAAUAGUUUCUGAAUAUUAACUCGUAGUACAUAUUCUAGGUUUUUUGACAAAUGAAAUAAUUGAUAAAUGUUUGUUAUUUCUAGAAUUCAAUAAAUUGAAUGGUAUACUUGAUUGAUAUAACUUAUACAUUCUUAAAAUUAGAAUAGGAAAUUACUUCCAAGUCAAGUUAUAAAGGUAAACAAAUUUCAACCGUCAAAGCUAACAUAAGAAAAGACAAAAAAGGGGUUCGAAUAAGAAACGAGGACCUAAAGGGUAAUUAAAAGACACUUUUAUAUAACUUUUUUUUGAGAGGAAAUAGAACUUUUCAUUGAUAAAAUGAAGAGAAUAAUGCUUAAAAUUACUAGAAAAUGAUAAUAAUAAAAGAAGAAAGACAACAAUAGAUAAGCGACUGCAACUUAAUACAACUCAAAGAUCAACCAUGAAAGAUAAAAGCUCCCAAUUCAGACAAUAGAGUAGCCAACUAGAUUAAGUUUAAUAUAAUGUAUGCAGAGAUUGGACAAUAAAAGAAUUUUGUCUUGGUGCGUUACAUUGGACUUCAAGUAUUUCAUUGAAGAAAUUUUAUCAUUCUUUAGAUAAAGGACCAUCAAUGUGAAUUAAGUGCUCAAAUAUUACGUUAAGUGAUAUGUCAUAGACAUGGAUAAAGGUAGAUAACAUUGGAUUAAAGUGUGAACUUGGACUACAAGUUCUUUAUUAAACAAAUCUUCUCAUUCUUUGGAAAAAUAUUUGUCAAUUGGACGAUGUGUUUGAGAUAGUUCACUAAGUGAGUUGUUAUGGACACAUAAAGAUUGGAGGAUAACAAUAGACCAUGCAAUUGAACUAAGAAAAGGACUUAUGUGAAGGACUAUCAAGUGGAAUAAUGUAUGUAACGAGAAAGGAAGAUAAGUUGAGAUACAUGAAUUUUGAAUUGAGAAGUGAGAUGGAACUACAAGUUUUUUUAUUAAAGAAGUCCUUUAAUUAUUUGAAAAAAAGAUUAGCCAAUUGGGUUAAGUGUUAAUGUAAGACAUGUGUUGAUCUGCUUUGGUCAUGAAUUUGAAAAAAGAAGAUGGUUUAUGGAAAUAACAUUUAAAAAAGGGUCAUGAAGACUUAUUAAAUGGAAGAAACAUAAGUUAGAAACUAAAAAUUUUGGAUUAAAGUGUGACAUUGAACUUUAAGUUUUCAAUUGAAAAACUUCUCAUUUUUUAGGUAAAGGAUUAAUAAGGUAGAGUAAGUGUGAUUAAGUGAUAGGUCAUGGAUUUGGAUACGGAAAUAUAACACUAAACUACACAAGUUAAAUAGAAACAAAGGAACAUGGAGGACUAUUGGUUGAAUACACAAUAAGAGAAAAAGACUAUCUUAACAAGAAGGAAGAUAGAAUUAGGAUACAUUAAGGUGUGACAUUGAGUGAACUUUAAAUUUUGGAUUAAAGAACUCUUGCUAUUGUUUGGAGAAAGGAUUUUUUAAUUUGGAUUAGUGUGAAGACAACACACCAUGAGUGAGAUUAGCUAAUUAGGUAAGAUCAAAUGGAUAUGUUUAUAGAAAAAAAGCUUUGGCUAUGCAAAUGUAAUUGAAAAAAGGACACAUGGACGCCGCCUAUAAAUGACAUAAAAAGAUAAGUAAGGAUAUACAAGUUUUAGAUGGAAGUGUGCCAUUGGACUCCAAGUUUUAGAUUAAAGAACCCUUGCCAUUGUUUGGAGAAAGGAUUAUCAAAUAGGAUUCAGCGUGAAAACAGUGCACUAAGAGUGAGAUUAGCUCAGUAGAUUAAGAUAUUACUUAAGGGAUUAGGUGAGAUCCCAUGGACAUGUUUAUAGGAAAAAAAUUGGCUAUGCAAAUAUAAUUGGGAAAAGAUGCAUGGACGAAAAUAAAUGACACAACAAGAAAAAGGGUAUAUGAGUUUUGGAUAGAAGUGUGACAUUGGACUUCAUGUUUUAGAUUAAAGAACUCUUGCUAUUGUUUGAAAAAGAAUUACCAAAUUGGAUUAAGUGUUGAGAUAAUGCACUAAGAGACAUCAGCCACUUAGAUUAAAUUUUUACUUAGGGAUUAAAUGAGGUCCAUUGGAUAUGGUUAUAGGAAAAAAAGUUUGCUAUGCAAAUAUAAUUGGAAGAAGAGACAUGACGGACUGCAGACGACACAAAAAGAAAAGUUAGGAUGUGAGAGUUUUGGAUUCAAGUAUGGUAUUGGAUGUCAAGUUUACAUUUGAGUAACUCUGGCCAUUGUUUGUAGAAAUGGUUAUCAAAUUGGAUUUAGUGUUGAUAUAAUGCACUAAGAGUGAUAGCCAAUUUCAUUAAGUUUUUAUUUAACGAAUGAGGUUUUUACCGUGGACAUGGAUAUAGGAAGAAAAAUUUGCUAUACAAAUGACAUUGAAAAAAUACAUAUUGAGGACUAUAGACAGCACACAAAAAAUUAGCAUAUGAGUGUUUCAGAUUGAAAUGUUUCAAGUUUAAGAUUAGAUAAUUUUUGCCAUUGUUUGGAGAAAUGAAUAUUAAAUUUGAUCAAGUGUUAAGAUAUUGCACUAAGAAUGAGAUACACCAAUUAGAUAAAGUUUUUAUUCGAGGAAUGAGGUGUUUUGCCAUAGAGAUGGUUAUAGGAAAAAUGUUUGGUUAUAUGAAUGAAAUUGGAAAAAGACACAUGGAAAGGACUAUAGGCGGUACAAAAAGAAAAGUUAGAAUAUGAGUUUUGAUUUGAAGUGUGGCAACGGACUUCAAGUUUUUGAUUAAUAAGAACUCUUGUAGUUUGGAGAAAUGAUUAUUGAAUUGGAUAAUUCUUAAGAUAGGAAACUUUAAGUUAGUUUAGCCUUUUGAUUUAAGUUUUUCAUUAAGAGAUGCGAUGAUUUGGCAAUAACAUUAUGAAAAGACAUAUGGAAGACUAUAAACGAUACAAAAAGAAAAGUGAGGAUGUGAGAGUUUUGGAAUGCAUUGUGAUAUUGGACUUUAAGUUUAAGAUUAAACAAGUCUUGCUAUUGUUUGGAGAUUCAAAUUGAUUAAUUUUUUAGGUAGUGUACGAAGAUUAAAUUUGUCUAUUGGAUUAAGUUUUUAUUUGAAGGACAUGGUAAUUUACUAUGGACGUUCGCAAAAGAAGUGUAACAUUUUACUUCAAGUAUAAGAAUAAGGAACUUGUUGCCAUCUUUUGGAGAAAAGAUUAUCAAAUUGGAUAAGUGUUGAGGUAGUAGGAAAGGAAAAAAAGAGAAAGUGGAAAGGGGAAAAUACGAAAGUAUGAUAGUGGAAAAAGAAAAUACCAAAAUGAAAAUCAGCUCCUUAUUCCUAAAUUCUUUUAGAUCAAAUUGUCUUUUGGAGAAAGGGUUAUCUAAUUGGAUAAGAGUUGAGGUUGUAGGGAAGGAAGAAAAGAGAAAAUACAAGAAAAUAACAAGUGAGAGCGUAUCGAUGGUUAUUGAUUUGAUUUUUAGCAUAGGAUUGUACAAAAAAAAGUUUGUAUUACCCAUCAUUAAACUAGAGCCGGACUAGGGUAAUGAUGGGUAAUAAAUACUUUUUGGUACCAUCCUCUGCUAAAAACCAAAUCAAUAAUCAUUGAUACGCUCUCACUUGUUAUUUUCUUGUCUUUUAUUUGAGUAUUUUUUUCCCACUUUUUCUUACUUUAACUAGCCAAUUGGAUUAAGUUUUUAUUUAAGAGUACCAGAUUUUUCAUGGACAAGUUAUAGUUAAAAGAAAUUGGCUAUCCAAAUGAAAUUCGAGAAAAUCAAAUAGAGGACUAUAAACGAACCCAUAAAAAAAAUGGAUAUGCAAGUUUUGGAUUAAAGAACUCUUGCCAUUGUUUGGAGAAAAGAUUAUUGAAUUUGAUUAAGUGUUGAGAUAGUGCCCUAAGAGUGGGAUUUGACUACUAGAUUAAGUUUUUAUUUGAGGAAUGUGGUGAAUUGUUGUGGAGAUGAGUAUAGGAAAAAAUGUUUAGCUAUACAAAUGAAAUUUGAAACAGACACAUGGAGGAAUAUAGAUGACACAAAAUGAAAAGUUAGUAUAUAAGGGUUUUGGAUCGAAGUUUGGCAUUGGACUUCAAGUUUUGCAUAAAAUAAAUUCUUGCUAUUUUUUGAGAGAGGAUUAUCCAAUUGGAUUAAGUAUUGAGAUAGUGAACUAAAAGUGAGAUUAUCCAAUUGGAUUAAGUUUUUAUUGAAGAGAUGUGGUGUUUUGUUAUCGAAAUGGUUAUAGAAAAAAUGUUUGGCUAUAUAAAUGAAAUUGAAAAAAGACACAUUGAGGACAAUAGACGACCGAAAAAGAAAAGUAUGGAUUGAGAGGUGUGACAUUGGACUUGAAGUCUUCAAUUAAAGAACUCUUGCAAUUGUUUGUCAAAAGAUUAUCAAAUUGGAUUAUGUGUUGAGAUAGGUGCAUUGGACUCUUAGUUUAGGAUUAAAUGGUUCUUGCCAUUGUUUUUUUUAAUAGACAUGUGGAGGGUAACAUUGACAUUGGACCUUUAGUUUAGGAUUGAAGCCUUUUAGGGGAAUACAAACUAAUGGGUAAACUUAGGCAUCAAGAAGAAAAAAGCCUAAACAAAGGAAGUCAAAAGGAAACGUAACAAACAGAAUAAAGCCUUUCCAAGAUAAAACAAUUGUAGAAAACUAAAAAGAUAGCAAAAACUUGACACCCUCACUUAAGUGGCAUUGGCCUUGGCAUUGACAUUAGAUUUAGCUCUUAGUGAAGUGUGACAUUGAUAUUGGACUUUUAGUUUCGGAUUAAAGCCAUCUUUUUAAUGAUACUAUACGAGACUUAAAGAUCAAAGUAAGUGUAUUGUACUAAAAAGCGAAGGAAAUUGGGGAAUAUAAACUAAAGUGAACUUAGGCAACAAGAAGAAGAGAACCUAAACAAACGAAGUCAAAGAGAAACGUAACAAUCAGAAUAAAGCCUUUCCAAAUCGAAACAUAUGUAGAAAGCUAAAAACAUUGCAAAAAUUUGACAACUCUCUCAAGUGGCAUUGACAUUGGACUUAAAGCUCUUAGUGAAGUGUGACAUUGGCAUUGACAUUGGACUCUUAAUUUAGGAUUAAAGCCUCUUUUAUAAUGAUAAUAUUUGAGGCUUAAAGCUCAAAGUACAAGAGUAUUGUACUAAGGGCAAUGGUACUAGAAGAAUAUAAACUAAAGAGAAAACUUAGGCUACAAGAAGCCUACACAAACGAAGUCAAUGAGAAACGUAAUGAUUAGAACAAAGCCUUUUCAAGACGAAACAAUUGUAGAAAGCUAAAAAGAUAGCAAAAACUUGACAACUCUCUCAAUUGGCAUUGACAUUGGACUUAAAGCUUUGAGUGAAGUGUGUCAUUGGCAUUGGACUCUUAGUUUAGGUUUAAAGCCUAUAUUUUAAUGAUACGAGACCUAAAGCUCAAAGUACAAGAGUAUUAUCCUAAGCGCAAAGGAACUAGGAGAGUACAAACUAAAGUGAAAACUUAGGCAACAAGAAGAACAUAACAAACAGAAUAAAGUCUUUUCAAGAUGAAACAACUAUAGAAGGCUAAAAUGAUAGCAAUAACUUGACAACUCUCUCAAGUGACAUUGACAUUGACAUUGGACUUACAGCUCAAAGUACAAAGGUGUUCAUCUAAGGGCAAAGGUAUUUUUGCGAUAUAAACUAAACUGAAAACCUAGGCAACAAGAAGAAGAAAGUCUAAACAAAUAAAGUUAAAAAGAAACGUAACAAACAAAAUAAAGCCUUUUCAAGACGAAACAACUGUUGAAAGCACAAAAGAUAACAAAAACUUGACAACUCUAUCAAGAGGAGCCCAUUUGAAUAUAACAACUCUCUCCAGUGGCAUUGGACUUAAAGUUCUUAGUGAAGUGUUGCAUUGUCAUUGGACUCUUUGUUUAGGAUUAAAGCCUCUUUUUUAAUGAUAAUAUAUGAGACUUAAAGUUCGAAGUACAAGUGUAUUGUACUAAUAGGAAAGGAACUAUGGGAAUACAAACUAAAGUGAAAACUUAGGCAACAAGAAGAAGAAAAUCAAAACAAUUGUUGAAAACUUAAAAGAACUCGGAUAAAUUGAUUCCAAAAGAACUCCCCCAAAAAAACUUCCCUUUUGACAAGCAAUAAAGAGACCAAAACAUAAAAGUCAUAUCAAGCAAGCUACCAUAAACAAACAAUAAGGCUUAAAUUUGUACGUCGAUGAAACAGAAAUUUGGAUUAAAGAACUCUUGUCAUUGUUUGUAGAAAAGAUUAUCAAAUUGGAUUUAGUGUCGUAAUAGUGCACUAAAGAGUGAUAGCCAACUGGAUUAAGAUAUUUAUCGUGAACAUGGAUAUAAGAAGAAAGUUUGGCUAUACAAAUGACAUUGGAAAAAUGCACAGUAAGGACUAUGAGUGUUUCAUAUUGAAAUGUGGCAUUGGAGUUCAAGUUUAGGAGUUCAAAUCAAAUUGUUACAAUUGGAGAUAGUGCAGUAAGAGUGAGAUAAACCUACUAGAUAAUCUUUUUAUUUGAGGAAUGAGGUGUUUUACCAUGGAGGUGGUGAUAGAAAAAAUCUUGCUAUUGUUUGGAGGGAGGAUUAUCAAAUUGGAUUAAGUUUGAGAUAAUUGGGUUUGAUGUUAAUAUAAUUCACGAAGUGACUAGCCUUGGUCAUGUAUAAGAAAAAAAUGGCCAUAUAAAUGAAAUUGAAAAAAAAAAUCAAAUGGAGGACUAUAGACGCACAAAAAAAAAAGAAUCUAGUUGUAUUAAGGUGUGACAUUGAGUAAACUUCAAAUUUUGGAUUAAAGAACUCUUGCCACUGUUUGGACAAAAGAUUUUUCAAAUUGGAUUAAGUGAAUACAACACACCAAGAGUGAGCUUAGCUAAUUAAAUUAAGUUUUAACUUAAGGGAUUAAGUAAGAUCAAAUUGACAUGUUUAUAGAAAAUUUUUUGUCUAUGCAAGUGUGGCAUUGGACUUCAUGUUUUAGAUUAAAGAACUCUUGCCAUUGUUUGGAAAAAGAAUUACCAAAUUGGAUUAAGUGUUCAGAUAAUGCACUAAGAGAGAUUAGCCUAUUAGAUUAAGUUUUUACUUAGGGAUUAAAUGAGAUCCAUUGGACAUGGUUAUAGGAAAAAAUAUUUGGCUAUGCAAAUAUAAUUGGAAAAAGAGACAUGACGGACUAUAGACGACUUUAAAAGAAAAGUUAGAAUAUGAGAGUUUUGGAUUCAAGUAUGGUAUUGGACGUCAAAGCUAACAUUUGAAUAACUCUUGCCAUUGUUUGUAGAAAUGGUUAUCAAACUGGAUUUAGUGUCGAUAUAGUGCACUAAGAUGUAUAGCCAAUUGGAUUAAGUUUUUAUUUAACGAAUGAGGUUCUUUACCGUGGACAUGGAUAUAGGAAGAAAAGUUUGACUAUACAUAUGACAUUGAAAAAAUAAACAUUGAAAAAAUACAUAUGGAGGACUGUAGACAUCACACCAAAAAUUAGCUUAUGAUUGGAUAAAGGAGUAUUAAAUUUGAUUAAGUGUUGAGAUAUUGCACCAAGAAUGAAAUAAACCUACUAGAUAAAGUUUUUACUGGAUAAAGUUUUUAUUUGAGGGAUGAGGUAUUUUGAAAGACGCAUUGAGAGGAACAAAAAGAAAAGUUAGAAUAUGAGUUUUGAUUUGAAGUGUGGCAACAAACUUCAAGUUUUGGAUUAAUAAAGAACUCUUGUAGUUUGGAGAAAUGAUUAUUAAAUUGGAUAAUUCUUAAGAUAGGGAACUUUAAGUUAGUUUAACCUUUUGAUUUAAGUUUUUCAUUAAGAGAUGCGAUUAUUUGCUUUGGACAUAGGUAUAGGAAAAUAUGUUUUGGCAAUAACAUUAUGAAAAGACACAUGGUGGACUAUAAACGAUACAAAAAGAAAAGUGAGGAUGUGAGAGUUUUGGAAUGCACUGUGAUAUUGGACUUUAAGUUGAAGAUUAAACAAGUUUUGCUAUUGUUUGGAGAACCAAUUAUUCAAAUUGAUUAAUUUUUGAAGUAGUGCACUAAGAUGAAAUUUGUCUAUUGGAUUAAGUUUUUAGUUGAGGGAUGGGGUGAUUCGCUAUGGGCAUGGAAAAAACAUUGGUUGUUCAACUAAAAUUGAAAAAAGACAUAGAGAACUAUUGAUGUUGCAAAAGGAAAAGUUAGGAUAUAAGAGUUUUGGAUUGAAGUGUAACAUUUUACUUCGAGUAUAGGAAUAGGGAACUGGUUGCUAUCUUUUGGAGAAAGGAUUAUCAAAUUGGAUAAGUGUUGAGGCAGUAGGAAAGGAAAAAAAAGAGAGUGGAAAGGGGAAAAUACGAAAGUAAGAUAGUGGAAAAAGAAAAUACCAAAAUGAAAACCAGCUCCUUAUUCCUAAAUUCGUUUAGAUUAAAUUGUCUUUUGGAGAAAGGAUUAUCAAAUUGGAUAAGUGUUGAGGCAGUAGGAAAGGUAAAAAAGAGAAGGUGGAACGGGGAAAAUACAAAAGUAAGAUAGUGGAAAAAGAAAAUACCAAUAUGAAAACCUGCUCCUUGUUCCUAAUUUCGUUUAGAUUAAAUUGUCUUUUGGAGAAAGAAUUAUCAAAUUGGAUAAGAGUUGAGGCAAGAAGGAAGAAAAGAGAGUAGAAAGGUGAAAAAGAAAAUACCAGAAUAAAAUACAAGAAAAUAACAAGAAAGUGAGAGGGCAUCGAUGGUUAUUGAUUUGGUUUUUAGCAUAGGAUUGUACAAAAAAGUCUGUAUUACCCAUCAUUAGGCUAGAGCCGGACUAGGGUAAUAAUGGGUAAUAAAUACUUUUUGGUACCAUCCUCUGCUAAAAACCAAAUCAAUAAUCAUCGUCUUUUCGCUUUUCUUGUCUUUUAUUUGAGUAUUUUUUUUCCACUUUCUUACUUUAACUAGCCAAUUGGAUUAAGUUUUUAUUUAAGGGAUAACUGAUUUUUCAUGGACAAGUUAUAGUAAAGAGAAUUUUGCUAUCCAAAUGAAAUUGGAGAAAAUCAAAUGGGAGAACUAUAAACGGCACAAAAAAAAGUACGGAUAUGCCAUUGGUUGGAGAAAGGAUUAUUGAAUUUGAGUAAGUGUUGAGAUAGUGCCCUAAAAGUGACAUUUGGCUACUAGGUUAAGUUUUUAUUUGACGAAUGAGGUGAAUUGCCGUGGAGAUGGGUAUAAGAAAAAAGGCUUGGCUAUAAAAAUGAAAUUUGAAACAGACACAUGGAGGACUGUGGAUGGCACAAAAUGAGAAGUUAGUAUAUGAGUGUUUUGAAUGGAAGUUUGGCAUUGGACUUCAAGUUUUGCAUAAAAUAGGUUCUUGCUAUUGUUUGGAGAGAGGAUUAUCAAAUUGGAUUAAGUAUUGAGAUAAUGAACUAAAAGUAAGAUUAUUCAAUUGGAUUAAGUUUUUAUCGAAGAGAUAUGGUGUUUCGUCGUCGAAAUGGUUGUAGAAAAAUAUUUGGUUAUAUUAAUGAAAUUGGAAAAAGACACAUUGAGGACAAUAGACGACCCAAAAAGAAAAGUAAUUUGCAAUUGCGUUGGUAUUGGACUUGAAGUCUUGCAAUUGUUUGGAAAAAGUUUAUCAAAUUGGAUUAUGUGUUGAGAUUAAAUGGUUCUUGCCAUCGUUUUUUUUAAUAUACGUGUGGAGUGACAUUGACAUUGAAAUUAAAGCUCUUAGUUAUGUGUGGCAUUGGCAUUGGACCCUUAGUUUAGAAUUGAAGCCUCUCAGGGGAAUACAAACUAACGGGAAAACUUAGGCAUCAAGAAGAAAAAGGCCUAAACAAAGGAAGUCAAAAGGAAACGUAACAAACAGAAUAAAGCUUAUCCAAGACGAAACAACCAUAGAAAACUAAAAAGAUAGCAAAAACUUAACAACCUCUCUCAAGUGGCAUUGGCCUUGGCAUUGACAUUGGACUCUUAGUUUAGGAUUAAAGCCACUUUUUUAAUGAUACUAUACGAGACUUAAAGAUCAAAGUACAAGUGUAUUGUCCUAAAGAGCAAAGGAACUAGGGGAAUAUAAACUAAAGUGAAAACUUAGUCAUCAAGAAGAAGAAAGCCUAAACAAACGAAGUCAAAGAAAAACGUAAAAAACAAAAUAAAGUCUUUCCAAGUCGAAACAUAGGUAGAAGGCUAAAAAGAUAGCAAAAAUUUGAUAACUAUCUCAAGUGGCAUUGACAUUAGAUCUCAAGCUCUUAGUGAAGUGUGGAGUUGGUAUUAGACUCUUAGUUUAGAAUUAAAGCUUUUUUAUUUAAUGAUAAUAAAUUUAAACUUAAAGCUUAAAGUACAAGAGUAUUGUACUAAAAGCAAAAGAAUUAGGGGGAUACAAUUUAAAGUGAUAACUUAUGCAAUAGUGGUUCAUCAACUGAAUGGACUACAAUGGACAUCUAAAGCAUCAUAGUAGAAUAAUUUUGCAAUUAGCAACUAUUCAUUUUAGGUAAUUUGGUAUUUCGUAAUGUUGAGGUAUGGGGUGAGUAGCAUGGGGGAGUUUUUCUAAAAUUGGGUCUUCGUCGCACUGGAAAAGGGAGUUAAGAUAUGUUUCUAGAGGCUCAAAAUGUUGCUACCUCUCGAUCUUGGUUGUCUUAUCAAAUUGCUCCAUUUCCUUACUACUAACGCUGAAAGGAGAAUCAAAACAAGACUCCCCUUUUUUCGAGAGGGAUGGAUAGGGGUUUUGCUUGGGGAGUUCUUUUGAAAGUAGUAAGUAUUCUUAAUGCUUUAUGCUCUUUGUAUAACUUUCAUGUUUGUUGGAGCAUUAUUCUCUUUCGUUUUACAUCUAAAUGAAUAAAGACACUUAUUUCUUUUAAAAAAACGAAGCUCGAAUGGUCGAGUGUCUACUUGAAGUCGCUGCAGGGUCCUGACCAAUUUGCAAUUGCGUUAAGAAACCAGUUUAGAUAAGAGCAUCUGAGACAACUAGAGAACACUGAGCUUCCACAUCUUCCACGUGAAAGCAUUCAUUAUCCAACCUACUCUUAAUCUGAACAAGGAAAAGGACGGAGAUAAGAUUAGCAUUUUUUUCAGUUACAUGUUUUUUUAUUAUAGAAGUCUUUUCAUUUCUUGAAAUAAGAUUAGCCAAUUGGGUUUAGUGUUGAUAUAAUUCACGAAGUGAUUAGCCUUGGUCAUGGAUAAGAGAAAAAAAUAGCUAUACAUAUGAAAUUGGAAAAAAAACAAAUGGAGGGGGACUAUAGACGACACAAAAAGAAAAGUUGGGAUUAAAGAGUUUUGUAUUAAAGUUUGGCAUUGUGAGACUUUAAGUUUUGGAUUAAAGAAUUCUUGUCAUUGUUUGGAGAAAAGAUUAUCAAAUUGGAUUAAGUGUGGAAAUAAUAUACUAAGAGUGAGAUUAGCUAAUUAAAUUAAGUUUUUACUUAAGCGAUUAGGUGAAAUUCCAUGGACAUUGUUGUAGAAAAAAAAGUUUGGAAAAAGACACAUCAACGACCAUAGACAACACAAAAAGAAAGGUAAGGAUAUGCGUGUUUUGGAUAAAAAUGUGGCAUGGGAUCAAACCCUAAGUUUUGGAAUAAAUAACUCUUGGCAUUUUUGGUAGAAAUGAUUAUCAAAUUGGAUUCAAUGUCUAUUAGUGCACUAAGAAUGAGAUCAAUCAAUUGAAUAAAGUUUGCAUUUAACGAAUGCGAUUAUUUACCGUGGACAUGGUUAUAGGAACUAAAGUUUGGCUAUAUUGAUGUCAGAAGACUAAGGGUUAGUUGGGUAAUUAGGUAAUAUUCUAGGUUAGUUCCCUUUUUACCCAAAUUGUAAUAUAAAUAGGAGUCUACUCCUCUUGUAUGAAGCAUAUUAUUCAUUUUAAUUAAAGAUCCACAAUCUUGGUUCUUGGAGGAUUUCUCAUUGAGUUUGCUUGGGUUGAAUCAUAUACAAAUGACAUUGGAAAUGUAGACGUUAAGGACUAUAGACGUUAAGGACCGUAAACAUGGCAUUAGAGUACAAGUUUAUGAUUAAAUAAUUUGGUUCAUUGUUUGGAGAAAAGAUUAUUAAAUUUGAUCAACUGUUGAGAUAGUGCACUAAGAGAAACAAGCCUAUUGGAUAAAGUUUUUAUUUAAGGAAUGAGGUGUUUUGCCAUGGAGAUGGUUAUAGGAAAAAUUGUUUGGCUAUACAAAUGAAAUUAGGUGUACACAUGAAGGAUUAUAGGCGGCAUAAAAAGAAAAGUUAAUAUAUGAGUGUUUUUAAUUGAGAUAGUGUGACAUAAGAUAAUUGGAUUAAAUUUUUGUGUUUGGGAUUAGGUGAUUUCUUAUUGACAUGAUUAUUGGAAAAAAAAAGCUGGCUAUGCAAUUACAAGUGGUAAAAAGACGCAUGGAAAACUAUUGACGACAUACAAAAAAAAAGUAAGGACACAUGAGUUUUGGAUUGAAGAGCGGUAUUAGACUUCAAGUUUUGGAUUAAAGAUCUCUUGUUGUUUGGAGAAAGGAUUAUUAAAUUUGAUAAGUAAUAAAAUAGUGCACUAUUAGUUGGUUUAAGCCAUUUGGAUUAAGUUUUUCUUUAAGGGAUAAGGUGAUUUGCUUUUGAACAUGGAUAUAGGAAAAAAUGUUUGGCAAUAACAUUGCGAAAAGACACAUGGAGGACUAUAGACGACACAAACUGGAAAGUUAGAAUAUGAGAGUUUAGGAAUGAAAUGUGACAUUGGACUUAAAGUUUGGGAUUAAAUAACUCUUGUCAUUGUUUGGGAAAUUAAUUAAUCGUUGAGAUAGUGCACUAAGAUGAAAUUUGUCUAUUGGACUAGGUUUUUAUUUGAGAGAUGAUGUGAUUUGCUAUGGUCAUGGAUAUAGGAAAACACAUUGGCUGUAUAAAUAGAAUUGGAAAUAGACACAUAAAGGAUAGUAGACAAUGUAGAUGGGAGUUUUGGAUUGAAGUGCGGCAUAUUACUUCAAGUUUAGGAAUCAAUUGGUUAUCUUUUGGAGAAAGGCUUAUCAAAUUGGAUUAGUGUUGAGAGGCAAUAGGAAAGAAAGAAAAGAGAAAGUGGAAAGAGGAACAUACCAAUGGAAGAAAGUGGAAAAAGAAAAUACGAAAAUAAAAGACCAAAAAAAUGAAAAGGUGAUGAUAGUUAUUGAUUUGGUUUUUAGCAGAGGAUGGUACCAAAAAGUUUGUAUUACCCAUCAUUACCCUAGAGCCGGACUAGGGUAAUGAUGGGUAAUAAAUACUUUUUGGUAAAAUCAUUUUCUAAAAACCAAAUCAAUAACCAUCACUGCUUUCUCACCUUUUUUGUGUUUUCUUGUCUUUUAUUUUGGUAUUUAAUUUUUUCACUUCUUACUUUGACUAAGAGUGAGUUUACCCAAUUGGAUUAAGUUUUUAUUUAAGAAAUGACGUCAUUUGUUGUGGUCAAGUAUAUAGUAAAGAAAGUUUGGUUACACAAAUGAAAUUUUAAACAGACACAUAGAUGACUAGAGACGGCACAAGGUAAGUUCUUGUCAUUGUUUGGAGAAAGGAUUAUCAAAUUGGAUUAAGUAUUGAGAUAAUGCAUUAAAAGCGAGGUUAUUCAAUUGAAUUAAGUUUUUAUUUAUGUGAUUGGUUGUUUAUUCGUUGAAACGGAUAUAGGAAAGAAAAUGUUUGGCUAUACAAAUGAAAUUAGAAAUAUAUGACUUCAAUUCUUGGAUUAAAGAACACUUGCAAUUGUUUGUUUGGAUAAAGCAUUAUCAAAUUGGAUUUAGCAAUCACGUCGAGAAAGUAGUUCAGGUGGGGGCAUUUGAGACAAUUGGAGAACACUGGGCUUCGACAUCUUCCACGUGAAAUAGUUUAUUAUCCAACCAAACACGAAAAUGCAAAUGAAGAAUUUUACAGUUUGGUACUUCCAUUAAAUGUAGAUAGACUGUAGAAGACUCUAGACAAAAAACAGGAGGUGAGGCCGGAGAAUAUAAGAGGAAAGAAAGAGACGUCGGAGAAAUCACUGGAAAGGAGUGGAAAUUCAAAAGAGAAGAUGACGGAAGGAUGGAGGCAAGAGGAGAGAGGAGACUACAUACUUACUGCUUAGGUCUAUUUAUUACAUAAUCAACUUUCUCAUUCUAGGUUAACUUGCCAUCGUUUGGAGAGGAUUAUUAAAUUUGAUCAAGUGCACUAGGGGUGAGUUUAUCUUACGAGGUGAUUUGUCGUGGACAUGGAUAUAAGAAAAAAUGUUUGGUUCUACAAAUAACAUUGGAAAAAGACGCAUGGAGGAUAUGAAAGUCUUGGAUUUAAGUGUUACAUUUGGAUUUCAAGUUUAAAAUUAAAUAACUUUUGUGAUUAUUUAAAGAAAUGAUUAUUAAAUUUAAGAAAGCAUUGAGAUAGUGCACUAAGAGUGACGUUAGCCUACUGGAUAAGUUUUUAUUCGAGGCAUGAGGUUAUUUGCCAUUGAUAUGGAUAUAAGAAAAAGAGUUUGGCUAUAAAGAUGACGUUGGAAAAAGAUUCAUGAAGAGCUAUAUAGAAUACAUAAAAAGAAAAGUUAGAAGUUUUGAAUUGUUUAACGAAAGGAUUACCAAAUUGGGUUAGCUUUGGAAUGGUGGACUAUAAGAGUGAGAUUAGCUAUUCGAUUAACAUUUUUCAUAGGAGAUUAGGUGAUUUCCCAUGGCCAUGAUUAUAGGAAAAGAAAAGAUUGGCUAUACAAAAGUAAUUGGUAAAAAGAGACAGAGGAUUGUAAAUGACAGAAAAAGGAAAUUAAGGAUAGGAUAUUCGAGAUUCGAAUUGAAGUGUGGCAUUGGUGUUCAAAUUUUGGAAUGAAGAACUCUCGCGAAUGUUUGACGAAAGGAUUAUCACAAUGGAUUAAGUGUUAAGAUAGUGCAUGAAGAGUAAGAUUAGGUAGUUGGAUUAAGUUUUUAUUCAUGGAAUGAACUUAUUUGCAGUGAACAGGGAUAUAGGAGAAAAAGGUUUGGCUAUAUCAGUAACACUGGAAAAGACACAUGGAGGACUAUAGACAGCACAAAAAGAAAAGUUAGGAAUUAAGAGUUUUGGAUUUGAGUGUAGCUUUGGAAUUCAAAUUUUGGAUUAAAGAACUCUAGCCAAUUGUUUGGAGAAAUAAUUAUCAAAUUUAAUUAGUGUUGAGAUAAUGCACUAAGAGUAAGAGUAGCCAAUUAGAUUAAGUUUUCUCAAGUGUUGUGGUGAUUUGCUGUAUACUUAGAUAUAAGGAAAAAGGUCUUGCUAUGUGGACAAAGUUGGUAAAAGACACAUGUAGGACUAUAGACAGCAGAAAAAGAAAAACUAGGAUAUGAGAGUUUGGUUUGAAGUGUGUGAUUUUACUUCAAGGUUUGAAUUAAUGAACUCUUGCAAUUGUUUAUCUAUAUUAAGUUUUUAUUUAACGAAUUUGGUGAUUUUCCAUGGACAUGGUUAUUGGAAAAAAAGGGUUGCUAUACUAAUGUAAUUGGUAAAAAGAACAUGGAGGACUAAAAACAGCUCAAAUAGAGAAGUAUUUGAGUUUUGGAUUGAAUUGUGGCAUUGUACUUUAACUUUUGGAAUGAAGAGCCAAUGUUUGGAGAAAAUAUUAUGACAAUGGAGAAGUAUGAGAGUUUUGGAUUAAGCUUUUGUGAGAUCUCCUCUCCUCUUUGGAUGCUCCGUUGUGCCUAAGGUGAGUUAUUGAUUAACUUUUGAUGCACCUCUCUAAUCUGUUUAGACUGCCUAAGAUCGUGUGACGAAUCUUAUAAUUUCUUGUUCUCCUAUGUGUGUAAGGAAGAAGAUUACAUGAGCUGAAGUUGGUAAAUGAACUUUUGAAAAAUGAACUUUUGAAUGUUUGGAGAAAUGGCAUCAAUGCUGUGAUUUUUCUUUUAUUUUAUUCUGUUGAUCAUUUUGCUUGAAACCUAGAAUCAAGAAAAUCAGAGAAAGGAGAGGAGAAAUUUGAGGAAAAGGAGAAUAUUUUCUGAUUUUGCUCUUUGUCUUGAAGGGUCUUUAAAAAGGGGCAAGCAACAAAUAGCUAUAGCUACAAGCAAACCAGCACACAUGUGGCAUACAGUCAUUGAUUUGACAUAUAACAGCAAGAAUGACAAUCAGAUGGAAACUUUAGCACUCUUACUGUGCUGGCUUAACAUUACUUUAUAAUUUAUGCGGGAGCUUUUUCUUUGCUUGAUACAGGGAUGUAAAACUAAGGUUAACUUGAGGAAACAUAAUUCGCUCUGUCCAGAAAGAAUAGAAAGGUUGGUGGAAAAGGCUUCUAAAAAUAGAAGAAAAACCUCCUCCACAGUUGAAGGUUGGCUGGAACAAAUAGUUUAUAAAUAUUUGUUAAACUUUAUGUGGAGUAUUCAUUCAUAGAAUCCAAUAAAUUGUAUUGUAUACUUGCUCCCAAGUUAACCUAUAAAGGUAAACAAAUUUCAACCAUCAAAGCUACAUAAAUGUUAAAGUUGGUGUAUACAACACCCAAAAACGUGGCAAAUUUUUUGUAUUACCUGUUUUCUGUUAGUCGAAACUUUGAACAUGUAGGGGAUGAGGAAUCUCUUGAACUCGAAGGUGAUAUUGAAGGAGGGUUAGUUCUAAGACGAAAAAUAUACAUUCCGAAGGAAGAUGCAAAGAUACUGAAGAGUAACUCCAGCGUUGUAGCUGUCAAAUUAGGUGCUGGUUCUGGUGGAUUCUCAAGGUUGGUCUAGAGUCCAUCCAAUGUUUAACCUUUUACAUCCAUCAGAAUCGUUUAUUUCAUUCACGUCCAUCGACGGAUCUGUGCAUGAAUUCUGGCCUGAGUCAGGGGAGCAGUAUUUGGAGGGAGACGUUUUACCAAAUGGUGAAUGGAAGCUAUUGAUAAAUGUUUGGGAUGGGCAUUAGUCAACAAAUUAGACAUUAAGGAGGUUCACAAAUUUCUCAUCCACUGGGGAACUAGAACGGUCAACCUCGAGCUAUGGUCGGAACAUAGACCAGUGUCCAAGGAAAAACCACUCCAAAUUUCACAGAGUUACGAAGUGAUCAACUUCAUUGAUUGUUGCAAUGAGAAGAAUUGCUUUUCAGAAUUUGCAAAAUAAGUUUAAAGCUAUUGAGCUUUAACACUAUUUUGUGUUCUUUAUCAGUGUUCCAAUCCUAAGUCCAUGGUUUGUUCUAACAAAUCAUUUUGUUAUUACCUAAACCUAUUACCUAAACCACUGAACAUGCCAACUACGAACAGUUUGUCAAAUAAAGGUUGCUUAGAAUAUCAUUCUACCCCUAAGUUAAAUUUAAUUUUGAGUUUCAUUUGA